rnacentral:rRNA from 1 species
ACUCCUACGGGAGGCAGCAGUGGGGAAUAUUGCACAAUGGGCGCAAGCCUGAUGCAGCCAUGCCGCGUGUAUGAAGAAGGCCUUCGGGUUGUAAAGUACUUUCAGCAGUGAGGAAGGUGGGUAUGUUAAUAGCAUAUUCUAUUUGUACGUUAGCUGCAGAAGAAGCACCGGCUAACUCCGUGCCAGCAGCCGCGGUAAUACGGAGGGUGCGAGCGUUAAUCGGAAUUACUGGGCGUAAAGCGCAUGCAGGUGGUUGUUAAGUCAGAUGUGAAAGCCCGGGGCUCAACCUCGGAAUUGCAUUUGAAACUGGCAAACUAGAGUACUGGUAGAGGGGGUUA